rnacentral:rRNA from 1 species
CUGAAGGCCAUAUAGGCCGAAGUACAUGAUUCCAUGCUUCCAAGAAAAGCAUCUAGAGAGAGAAGUAGUGCCCGUACCGCAAACCGACACAGGUAGAUGAGGAGAGAAUCCUAAGGCCGGCGGAAGAAUUGCAGUUAAGGAACUAGGCAAAUUGACCCCGUAAGUUCGCGAGAAGGGGUGCCUGCGAGAGCAGGCCGCAGAGAAUAGGCCCAAGCAACUGUUUAGCAAAAACACAGGUCUCUGCUAAAGCGUAAGCUGAUGUAUAGGGGCUGACGCCUGCCCGGUGCUGGAAGGUUAAGGGGAACACUUAGCGCAAGCGAAGGUGUGAACUUAAGCCCCAGUAAACGGCGGCCGUAACAAUAACGGUCCUAAGGUAGCGAAAUUCCUUGUCAGGUAAGUUCUGACCCGCACGAAUGGCGUAAUGACUUGGGCACUGUCUCAACCGCAAAUCCGGCGAAGUUGUAGUGCGAGUGAAGAUGCUCGCUACCCGCGAUUGGACGGAAAGACCCCGUAGAGCUUUACUGUAGCUUAGCAUUGAAUUCCGGUAUUGUCUGUACAGGAUAGGUGGGAGACUGGGAAACUAGGGCGUCAGCCUUAGUGGAGUCAACCUUGGGAUACCACCCUGACAGUACUGGGGUUCUAACAGGACGCCAUGAAUCUGGUGACUGGACAUUGUUAGGUGGGCAGUUUGACUGGGGCGGUCGCCUCCUAAAAAGUAACGGAGGCGCCCAAAGGUUCCCUCAGAACGGUCGGAAAUCGUUCGUAGAGUGCAAAGGCAGAAGGGAGCCUGACUGCGAGACAUACAAGUCGAGCAGGGACGAAAGUCGGGCUUAGUGAUCCGGUGGUACCUCGUGGGAGGGCCAUCGCUCAACGGAUAAAAGCUACCUCGGGGAUAACAGGCUGAUCUCCCCCAAGAGUCCACAUCGACGGGGAGGUUUGGCACCUCGAUGUCGGCUCGUCGCAUCCUGGGGCUGUAGUAGGUCCCAAGGGUUGGGCUGUUCGCCCAUUAAAGCGGCACGCGAGCUGGGUUCAGAACGUCGUGAGACAGUUCGGUCCCUAUCCGUCGCGGGCGUAGGAAAUUUGAGAGGAGCUGUCCUUAGUACGAGAGGACCGGGAUGGACUGACCUCUGGUGCACCAGUUGUUCCGCCAGGAGCAUGGCUGGGUAGCUAAGUCGGGAAGGGAUAAACGCUGAAAGCAUCUAAGCGUGAAGCCUCCCUCAAGAUGAGAUUUCCCAUAGCAUAAGCUAGUAAGACCCCUUGAAGAACACAAGGUUGAUAGGUCAGAGGUGUAAGUGCGGUAACGUAUUUAGCUGACUGAUACUAAUAGGUCGAGGGCUUGACC